CAUUUAAGCAGGCCUCCGGUUGAAUCAAAACAAGGAAGCGAGCUGGCAGUUGUGCGCCAAUGUUUCAUGGACAAAGCCAGGCGUUGGGCAGUCUAACAUUAGUGAUGGUCACAUCGAUUAGCAAGCCAACUAACCGUUAGCCAAGUUAGCUUCCCAGCUUGCCAACAUAAAACGUGACUAACCAGCCACAAAGCUAACGUUAGCCAAACAUUAUUUAGCCACAGUGGCUGUGCGAAAAAUCGCGACACAGACAUUUUCUUGUUAAUCAUUACAUUGUGUUAACGUUAGUUAACAGACAACAGAAAAAGCAACGAGACUCAUUGCUUGGUAUUAAAGCCUUAGCUAACACCUACUGAUGGCUAGGUGACAGCUGGACCGAGCGCAACAAGGAAAUUAGCUCCGUUAGCAACUAAAAUAUUAAGCUAACAGCCAAAAGCCUACUAUCAAAUGUUGGUUUGCUAGCUCAUCGCAAACAAACAUAACAGACUCACCUUCGCUGUGAUAAAUCCAGACGACCAGGACACGGUUUGUGUGUUUGUCACGCCAAAUGUACACGAAUGGCUGCGAGCUUAAUGUGAGGUUUUCGGCGUUGACUUGUUGUUACUGAUGUUUCACGCUAACAGCGGACUGGCGAUUUCUGCUCUCUCCAUUCUUCGCUGUUCGUCUGUCUUCGCUGCUCGUGAAAGGUUCGAACACACCGGAUGUAGAAACACGGCACCGCCCGCUUCACCACGCACACUUCCAGCUUUGAGCUUACCCGCAUGGCACCCAGCAGGCGGAUGUAGUCGGCCAGCAGCUCUUCAAAGAUGAAGAAGUCACUGGCUGCCUGCUCCUGAUGCAGUUGCUCCAUCUUGUCCUCCACCUCUGCCAGCUGGGACAGCGCCCGAGACAGGGCGGUGUUAUCCUCAGAGUUUCCCAACAUGGCCAUACUUUUGGCAAAUAUUGCCGUGUUCCCACACAGCUCUGGUUUUGAAAGAGGAAAUAGAAAAGUUAUUGAGUCUCACCCUAAAAGAAAUGGCAGCUGGACUGUGCUCUUCUGUUUCCUCAGGUGAAACAAUUUGAUAAUAAAAAUUGGGCAGACAAAGAAAAGUCAAGAAAGGCAGAUGCAGCUCUCACCCUUCCUGUGAUUGACCAGGGAGUCGACCAAGGCAUGAAGCUUCCUCAACUGCUGCUCCUCGCUCUCCACCUCCUGGAACUUGUCCUCAAACCACUGAGACACAAAGCAGAAAGAAUAAAUAAAUUUCAGUUCAAACUA